rnacentral:rRNA from 1 species
AAUGAACGCUAGCGGCAGGCCUAACACAUGCAAGUCGAGGGGUAACUAGAGUGAUAGCAAUAUUACUUUGGCUAGACCGGCGCACGGGUGCGUAACACGUAUGCAACCUACCUUAUACUGGGGAAUAACUUCGAGAAAUCGGCGCUAAUACCCCAUAACAUUGCGAAGAGGCAUCUCUUUGCAUUUAAAGCUCCGGCGGUAUAAGAUGGGCAUGCGUCCAAUUAGCUAGUUGGUGAGGUAACGGCUCACCAAGGCUACGAUUGGUAGGGGUUCUGAGAGGAUGAUCCCCCACACUGGUACUGAGACACGGACCAGACUCCUACGGGAGGCAGCAGUGAGGAAUAUUGCGCAAUGGACGAAAGUCUGACGCAGCCAUGCCGCGUGCAGGAUGACGGCCCUAUGGGUUGUAAACUGCUUUUGUACGGGAAUAAACCCUUCUACGUGUAGGAGGCUGAAGGUACCGUAAGAAUAAGCACCGGCUAACUCCGUGCCAGCAGCCGCAGUAAGAC